GGAGCUCCUCGGGAUCUCCGCGCUUGCUGCCGCUGCACUCCCACCGUCAUCGUCGGAGCCAUGCCCGCCCCCCAGCCAUCAGGGGCACUGAGUUCAUGAACGCAGUGCCUUAUUUGCGGAUUUCGCCAUUCGCAGGGGAUAUGAGAACAUAUCCCCCACAAAUGGGCACAGGAAGAAAAGAAGAGGACAAGAACAUAGGCUGAGAAGUGGUCUACUGAGGAGGGAAGGAUACUGUAUGAAGCUGUCUGGUGGACAGAACAGGCUAGCUAUUGCUAUGCAAGCCAACUUCGGAGCACAAUUGGGUCCCUUGCUUUUAACUUAACAUUAAA